CUUGGUAAGCGAAAGGAGGAAACAUUGAAAUUCAAACUAAGGUUUUGGGAAGACAGAAUAAUUCAAAUUAUUCUUUUGAUUUUUAAUUUUUUUAAAGUAAAGGGAAAAAGGAAUGCGGAUUUAAAUAUAUAAAAAAUUGGAGCUCUUCAUUGAGGUGAAUUGAAGAGGUGGAGCUUGGAUUUGGAGCUUUAUUCUUUCUAAAUAGGUAAAUUUCAUUUUCUAUGUUCGGGAAGUUUUAAUUUCUAUUGUCAUUCAAUAUUUUCGAAUUACAUAUACAUUUUGCUAUAUACUAUGACUAUGCUGAGGAUUUAAGCGUUUUUAAUUUGAUAUCUUGCUGCAUUAAUUACCGUACUUUUACCCUAAUCUUUGGUAUGUAUGUCAUAUUUAUAACGUAUAUACGUAUACGACUUCACGCUACUUCUAAACCUAAGGUAAAAAUUGUUGUUUAGGGUUUCGGAAUAAGAUUUUGGCCCUUUUCUCUCUAAAAUUUCCGCUUUUCUGUGAUAGAAUUUUUUGUGUUUUAUUAGUCUUGUGGCUGUGGCGAAACCCUAAAUCGGUUUCUUUGGUUUCUGCUAAUUUUUGUGAAUUGGUGGGCUUUUUAUUUCAGCUGUUUCAUAUGUGAAUUAAUUAUUGAUUGUUUUCCAUAUUUUUAUAAUUCUCCUUCCUUUCUCAGGGUUCAAUUUAGACUUGUUUGGCGAUUUUGAUCGAAAUAAAUCCAGUUUGUUAUUGCAGAUCAGGGGGGCCUUUUAGAAAUCGG
rnacentral:lncRNA from 1 species